rnacentral:rRNA from 1 species
UACAGAGGUCUCAAGCGUUGUUCGGAUUCAUUGGGCGUAAAGGGCGCGUAGGCGGUGCGGUGCGGUUUCGGUGAAAUCCCUCGGCCCAACCGAGGAACAGCCGAGGCUACGGCCGUGCUAGACGGCAUCAGGGGACAGUGGACUCCCGGUGGAGCGGUGAAAUGCGUAGAUAUCGGGAGGAACGCCGGUGGCGAAAGCGACUGUCUGGGGUGCCUGUGACGCUGAGGCGCGAAAGCCAGGGGAUCAAACGGG